rnacentral:rRNA from 1 species
AGUGAACGCUGGCGGCAGGCCUAAUACAUGCAAGUCGAACGGCAGCACAGCAGAGCUUGCUCUGUGGGUGGCGAGUGGCGGACGGGUGAGGAAUACAUGGGAAUCUGCCCAGUCGUGGGGGAUAACGUAUGGAAACGUACGCUAAUACCGCAUGCGCCCUACGGGGGAAAGCCGGGGACCGCAAGGCCUGGCGCGAUUGGAUGAGCCCAUGUUCGAUUAGCUAGUUGGCGGGGUAAAGGCCCACCAAGGCGACGAUCGAUAGCUGGUCUGAGAGGAUGAUCAGCCACACUGGAACUGAGACACGGUCCAGACUCCUACGGGAGGCAGCAGUGGGGAAUUUUGGACAAUGGGCGCAAGCCUGAUCCAGCCAUGCCGCGUGAGUGAAGAAGG